rnacentral:rRNA from 1 species
AUUACUCCUACGGGAGGCAGCAGUAGGGAAUCUUCCACAAUGGACGAAAGCCCGAUGGAGCAACGCCGCGUGAGUGAAGAAGGUUCUCGGAUCGUAAAACUCUGUUGUGAGGGAAGAACAAGUACCGGAGUAACUGCCGGUACCUUGACGGUACCUCAUUAGAAAGCCACGGCUAACUACGUGCCAGCAGCCGCGGUAAUAAU